UGGGGUGUAGCCAAGCGGUAAGGCAACGGACUUUGACUCCGUCAUUCGCGCGUUCGAACCGCGCCAUCCCAGCCA
rnacentral:tRNA from 1 species